rnacentral:rRNA from 1 species
CCUACGGGUGGCAGCAGUGGGGAAUAUUGGACAAUGGGGGCAACCCUGAUCCAGCCAUGCCGCGUGUGUGAAGAAGGCCCUCGGGUUGUAAAGCACUUUCAGUGAGGAAGAACGCCUGGUGGUUAAUACCCAUCAGGAAAGACAUCACUCACAGAAGAAGCACCGGCUAACUCCGUGCCAGCAGCCGCGGUAAUACGGAGGGUGCGAGCGUUAAUCGGAAUUACUGGGCGUAAAGCGCGCGUAGGUGGCUUGAUAAGCCGGUUGUGAAAGCCCCGGGCUCAACCUGGGAACGGCAUCCGGAACUGUCAAGCUAGAGUGCAGGAGAGGAAGGUAGAAUUCCCGGUGUAGCGGUGAAAUGCGUAGAGAUCGGGAGGAAUACCAGUGGCGAAGGCGGCCUUCUGGACUGACACUGACACUGAGGUGCGAAAGCGUGGGUAGCAAACAGGAUUAGAUACCCUGGUAGUC